rnacentral:rRNA from 1 species
GAUGAACGCUGGCGGCGUGCCUAAUACAUGCAAGUCGAGCGAACAGACGAGGAGCUUGCUCCUCUGACGUUAGCGGCGGACGGGUGAGUAACACGUGGAUAACCUACCUAUAAGACUGGGAUAACUUCGGGAAACCGGAGCUAAUACCGGAUAAUAUAUUGAACCGCAUGGUUCAAUAGUGAAAGACGGUUUUGCUGUCACUUAUAGAUGGAUCCGCGCCGCAUUAGCUAGUUGGUAAGGUAACGGCUUACCAAGGCAACGAUGCGUAGCCGACCUGAGAGGGUGAUCGGCCACACUGGAACUGAGACACGGUCCAGACUCCUACGGGAGGCAGCAGUAGGGAAUCUUCCGCAAUGGGCGAAAGCCUGACGGAGCAACGCCGCGUGAGUGAUGAAGGUCUGCGGAUCGUAAAACUCUGUUAUUAGGGAAGAACAAAUGUGUAAGUAACGAUGCACGUCUGGACGGUACCUAAGCAGAAAGCCACGGCUAACUACGG